GCGGGGAUAGCUCAGCUGGGAGAGCGUCAGACUGAAGUCCAACUUCAUUCUCACAUCUGAAGGUCGUGUGUUCGAUCCACACUCACCGCA
rnacentral:tRNA from 2 species